AAACUUCCAAAGUACAUAUACUAAAAUUGGAACGAUACAGAGAAGAUUAGCAUGGCCCCCGCGCAAGGAUUACACGCUCGUCCGUGUCCCUUCUGUACUUUUC